rnacentral:rRNA from 1 species
GACAGAGGUGCCAAGCGUUAGGCGGAAUCACUGGGCUUAAAGCGUGUGUAGGUGGAUGCCUAAGUGCCUUGUGAAAUCCCACGGCUCAACCGUGGAAUUGCUCGGCAUACUGGGUGUCUUGAGCCACUUAGGGGUCGCUGGAACAAACGGUGGAGCGGUGAAAUGCGUAGAUAUGACAUAGAACACCAAUUGCGAAGGCAGCUUGCUACAGGGAUAUUGACACUGAGGCACGAAAGCGUGGGGAUCAAACAGG